AUGGGCUGCGGGCUGCUCUGCUGUGUGGUCCUCUCUCUUGUGGGAGCAGCAGCCUCUGCGGACACGGGAAUAACUCAGAUACCAAAAUACCUAGUCAUGGAAACUAGAAGUAAGAAAUCUCUGAGAUGUGAACAACACCUGGGACACAAUGCUAUGUACUGGUAUAAGCAGAGCGCUCAGAAGCCGCUGGAGCUCAUGUUCGUCUACAACUACAAGGAACUCGCUAGCAAUGAGACUGUUCCAAGUCGAUUCUGGCCCAAAUGCCCAGACAGCUCCCACUUGUACCUGCACGUGGACACCCUGAAACUGGAAGACUCCGCCUGGUAUCUCUGCGCCAGCAGCAAAGACACAGCCCUGCAGAGCCAACUCCUUCCUGUGCACAAACCUCCAGGGUCCAGCCAGGAAGCUAGGGGGCCAGCCAAGGCUCCGUUUGCCACUUCCCAUUAG